UACGUAGGGAGCGAGCGUUAUCCGGAAUUAUUGGGUGUAAAGGGUGCGUAGACGGGUAAAUAAGUUAGUUGUGAAAUCCCUCGGCUCAACUGAGGAACUGCAACUAAAACUGUAUAUCUUGAGUGCGGGAGAGGAAAGUGGAAUUCCUAGUGUAGCGGUGAAAUGCGUAGAUAUUAGGAGGAACACCAGUGGCGAAGGCGACCUUCUGGACCGUAACUGACGUUGAGGCACGAAAGUGUGGGGAGCAAACAGG
rnacentral:rRNA from 1 species